CGAGCUUGGACAGAAAGAUCAUAUUCCUGCUGCGUAACUAACAGAAUACACACCCUGUCCUCAUUGUCCUUAGGAAGCAGGAGAUUGCCAAGGUGCAGGUCAAAGAAGCAUAAAGUUAAGCAAUGGUUUUCUGGAGGCGAGUUGUGUCUGGAAUUAAUCGUAACUGACUGUGAUCAGAGAACACGUCACGUGCGAGUCACCUGAUGUAACUGCACAGAGACAGAAGCAGGCCUUCCACUGGGUUUCUCACUUUCAACACCGAAAUG